rnacentral:rRNA from 1 species
UGCAUGUCUCAGUAUAAGCACUUUGUACUGUGAAACUGCGAAUGGCUCAUUAAAUCAGUUAUCGUUUAUUUGAUAGUACCUUACUACAUGGAUACCUGUGGUAAUUCUAGAGCUAAUACAUGCUAAAAACCCCGACUUCAGGAAGGGGUGUAUUUAUUAGAUAAAAAACCAACGCCCUUCGGGGCUCCUUGGUGAAUCAUAAUAACUUAACGAAUCGCAUGGCCUUGCGCCGGCGAUGGUUCAUUCAAAUUUCUGCCCUAUCAACUUUCGAUGGUAGGAUAGUGGCCUACCAUGGUGGCAACGGGUAACGGGGAAUUAGGGUUCGAUUCCGGAGAGGGAGCCUGAGAAACGGCUACCACAUCCAAGGAAGGCAGCAGGCGCGCAAAUUACCCAAUCCCGAUACGGGGAGGUAGUGACAAUAAAUACUGAUACGGGGCUCUUUUGGGUCUCGUAAUUGGAAUGAGAACAAUUUAAAUCCCUUAACGAGGAACAAUUGGAGGGCAAGUCUGGUGCCAGCAGCCGCGGUAAUUCCAGCUCCAAUAGCGUAUAUUAAAGUUGUUGCAGUUAAAAAGCUCGUAGUUGAACCUUGGCCCUGGCUGGCCGGUCCGCCUCACCGCGAGUACUGGUCCGGCUGGAGCUUUCCUUCUGGGGAACCUCAUGGCCUUCACUGGCUGUGGGGGGAACCAGGAC